rnacentral:misc_RNA from 1 species
UCCGGCUUAACGCCGGCAGUCCCCCCAGAGUCCCCGGCCGAACCGCUGGCAACUGGGAGCGAGGGUCGCGCUCGUUGCGGGACUUAACCCAACAUCUCACGACACGAGCUGACGACAGCCAUGCAGCACCUGUGCAGGUGCUCCGAAGAGGGGACCUGUUUCCAGGUCUUUCACCUGCAUGUCAAGCCUAGGUAAGGUUCUUCGCGUUGCGUCGAAUUAAACCACAUGCUCCACCGCUUGUGCAGGCCCCCGUCAAUUCCUUUGAGUUUCAGCCUUGCGGCCGUACUCCCCAGGCGGGGCACUUAAUGCGUUAGCGCCGGCACCCAGGGGGUCGCUCCCCCAGGCACCUAGUACCCAUCGUUUACGGCGUGGACUAC